GCAAACGGGAUUAGAUACCCUGGUAGUCCACGCCGUAAACGAUGUCGACUUGGAGGUUGUUCCCUUGAGGAGUGGCUUCCGGAGCUAACGCGUUAAGUCGACCGCCUGGGGAGUACGGCCGCAAGGUUAAAACUCAAAUGAAUUGACGGGGGCCCGCACAAGCGGUGGAGCAUGUGGUUUAAUUCGAUGCAACGCGAAGAACCUUACCUACUCUUGACAUCCAGAGAACUUAGCAGAGAUGCUUUGGUGCCUUCGGGAACUCUGAGACAGGUGCUGCAUGGCUGUCGUCAGCUCGUGUUGUGAAAUGUUGGGUUAAGUCCCGCAACGAGCGCAACCCUUAUCCUUUGUUGCCAGCGGUUAGGCCGGGAACUCAAAGGAGACUGCCAGUGAUAAACUGGAGGAAGGUGGGGAUGACGUCAAGUCAUCAUGGCCCUUACGAGUAGGGCUACACACGUGCUACAAUGGCGCAUACAAAGAGAAGCGACCUCGCGAGAGCAAGCGGACCUCAUAAAGUGCGUCGUAGUCCGGAUUGGAGUCUGCAACUCGACUCCAUGAAGUCGGAAUCGCUAGUAAUCGUAGAUCAGAAUGCUACGGUGAAUACGUUCCCGGGCCUUGUACACACCGCCCGUCACACCAUGGGAGUGGGUUGCAAAAGAAGUAGGUAGCUUAACCUUCGGGAGGGCGCUUACCACUUUGUGAUUCAUGACUGGG
rnacentral:rRNA from 1 species